rnacentral:misc_RNA from 1 species
GAUGAAGAACGUAGCGAAAUACGAUAAGUAGUGUGAAUUGCAGAAUUCCGUGAAUCAUCGAAUCUUUGAACGCACAUUGCGCCUUCUGGUAUUCCGGAAGGCAUGCCUGUUCGAGAGUCAUUAACAACCGUUUCGAUCCCUUUCUUUCAGAAAUUACAAAGAGGAAAAGGGUUUGGUUAUGGUGGAGGAGGGAAAGGGAGCGUUUAGCCUGUAAAAAGAGAGGCUGUGUUCCGCCUCCCCCCCAAAAUUGUACAGGCGGUCGUGUGCGCCCACGCAUCGAGGUGUUGUAAAAGCUGCCACGGCACUUUUCACCUGUGCAGUGCGAGAUUGGCCAGCCGGUUUAAAAACCCCUCCAAACAAUCAAAGGUUGACCUCGGAUCAGGUAGGGAUACCCGCUGAACUUAAGCAUAUCAAUAAGCGGAGGA